rnacentral:rRNA from 1 species
AUUGAACGCUGGCGGCAUGCCUUACACAUGCAAGUCGAACGGUAACAGGUCUUCGGAUGCUGACGAGUGGCGCACGGGUGCGUAAUACAUCGGAACGUGCCCGAUCGUGGGGGAUAACGAAGCGAAAGCUUUGCUAAUACCGCAUACGAUCUACGGAUGAAAGCAGGGGACCGCAAGGCCUUGCGCGAACGGAGCGGCCGAUGGCAGAUUAGGUAGUUGGUGGGAUAAAAGCUUACCAAGCCGACGAUCUGUAGCUGGUCUGAGAGGACGACCAGCCACACUGGGACUGAGACACGGCCCAGACUCCUACGGGAGGCAGCAGUGGGGAAUUUUGGACAAUGGGCGAAAGCCUGAUCCAGCCAUGCCGCGUGCAGGAUGAAGGCCUUCGGGUUGUAAACUGCUUUUGUACGGAACGAAAAGACUCUGGUUAAUACCUGGGGUCCAUGACGGUACCGUAAGAAUAAGCACCGGCUAACUACGUG